CCAAUAGCGUAUAUUAUAGUUGUUGCAGUUAAAAAGCUCGUAGUUGAAUUUCGGGAUCAAUAUAUCGGUCGUGCCAUCGGUACGUACUGGUAUCAUUGGUUUCUCCUUUCUGACGAACCAUGAUGUCAUUAAUUUGGUGUUAUGGGAAGUUAGGACUGUUACUUUGAAAAAAUUAGAGUGUUUAAAGCAGGCUUUAGCUUGAAUACAUUAGCAUGGAAUAAUGAAAUAGGACGUUUGAUUCUAUUUUGUUGGUUUCUAGGAUCGACGUAAUGAUUAAUAGGGAUAGUUGGGGGCAUUAGUAUUCAAUUGUCAGAGGUGAAAUUCUUGGAUUUAUUGAAGACUAACUACUGCGAAAGCAUUUGCCAAGGAUGUUUUCAUUAAUCAAGAACGAAAGUUAGGGGAUCGAAGACGAUCAGAUACCGUCGUAGUCUUAACCAUAAACUAUGCCGACUAGGGAUCGGAUGAUGUUGAUUUUUUAAUGACUCAUUCGGCGCCUUACG
rnacentral:rRNA from 1 species